rnacentral:rRNA from 1 species
UACGUAGGGGGCAAGCGUUGUCCGGAUUUAUUGGGCGUAAAGAGCGUGUAGGCGGCUGGGUAGGUCCGUUGUGAAAACUCGAGCUCAACCUCGAGACGCCGAUGGAAACCCUCCAGCUAGAGUCCGGAAGAGGAGAGUGGAAUUCCUGGUGUAGCGGUGAAAUGCGCAGAUAUCAGGAAGAACACCCGUGGCUAAGGCGGCUCUCUAGUACGGUACUGACGCUGAGACGCGAAAAGCUGGGGAGCGAACAGG